rnacentral:rRNA from 1 species
CACGUAGGGCGCGAGCGUUGUCCGGAAUUAUUGGGCGUAAAGAGCUCGUAGGCAGCCUGUUGCGUCCGCUGUGAAAGCCCCGGGGCUUAACCCCGGGUCGGCAGUGGAUACGGGCAGGCUAGAGGUAGGUAGGGGAGAAUGGAAUUCCCGGUGUAGCGGUGAAAUGCGCAGAUAUCGGGAGGAACACCGGUGGCGAAGGCGGUUCUCUGGGCCUUACCUGACGCUGAGGAGCGAAAGCGUGGGGAGCGAACAGG